UACGUAGGGUGCGAGCGUUAAUCGGAAUUACUGGGCGUAAAGCGUGCGCAGGCGGUUUUGUAAGCCAGAUGUGAAAUCCCCGGGCUUAACCUGGGAACUGCAUUGGUGACUGCAAGGCUUGAGUGUGUCAGAGGGAGGUGGAAUUCCGCGUGUAGCAGUGAAAUGCGUAGAUAUGCGGAGGAACACCGAUGGCGAAGGCAGCCUCCUGGGAUAACACUGACGCUCAUGCACGAAAGCGUGGGGAGCAAACAGG
rnacentral:rRNA from 1 species